rnacentral:rRNA from 1 species
AACGAACGCUGGCGGCAUGCCUAACACAUGCAAGUCGAACGCCCCGCUCGGGGAGCGGCGGGCGGGUGAGUGACGCGUGGGAAAGUACGCUUUUCUGCUGAGUAGCACCGGGCGACUGGGAUUCUUACAGCGUGUGUUCUUCUGGGGAAAGAUUUAUCGGCACGGGAUCGGCCCGCGUUGGAUUAGGUAGUUGGUAGGGUAAUGGCCUACCAAGCCGACGAUCCAUAGCUGGUGUGAGAGGAUGAUCAGCCACACUGGGACUGAGACACGGCCCAGACUCCUACGGGAGGCAGCAGUGGGGAAUAUUAGACAAUGGGCGAAAGCCUGAUCCAGCCAUGCCGCGUGAGCGAUGAAGGCCUUAGGGUUGUAAAGCUCUUUUAGGCGGGAAGAUAAUGACAGUACCGGCAGAAGAAGCCCCGGCUAACUCCGUG